UAUUUUGCAGUAAUUUUACUAGAUCUGUAGUAUGAAUUUUAUAAUCCUUUUAAGAAUUUAGGGAAAUGAAGGUCCUUAUCCUAUGAAACAACAGUUUACUUCCUAAUGGGAAGUGAUACUUGAUUUGUUUUCCUUUGUUUGCCUCUCUCAAAUGCUGCAAUGCCAAGUUAUUGUCUGAAUGUUUAAAAGGUAAACAGUUUACAAGAGUCAACCUGAAUGUAAGCCCAUCUGCAGAAAGGGGAGUUACUUAUCUGUAACUAAAGGUUCUUCUAGAUUUGUGAUCUCUCUCUGUAUUCCACUGAGAGUUAUGCGCAUGUGCCAUGCGCCCAGAGCCAGAGCUUUGAAAGUAGUAUCAUUCGGCGGUCCAUGCAUGCACCUUUUAUAUUUCCUCAUGGUUUCUCGAGGUGAUAAAGGGCAGGGCAAACCACCAGCAUCUCCAGUUCCUUCUCCAUCACAGACCUAUCAGAUCCGCAGCAGAGGGGAAGGAAAACGGGAUCAGAAUACACAUAGGGACCACACAUCUUGAAGAAUCUCCAGUUAUAGCGUAAAGACAACCCGUGGAACUCUUUGCCAGAGGAUGUUGUGAAGGCCAAGACUAAAACAAGGUUCAAAAAAGAACGAGGUAAGUUCAUGCAGAAUAAGUCCAUCAAUGGCUAUUAGCCAGGAUAAGCAGGUAUGCAAAACCAUGCUCUGAACUAUCCCUAGCCUCUGUUUGCCAGAAGCUGUGAAUGGGCAACAGGGGAUGGAUUACUUGAUGAUUACCUGUUCUGUUCAUUCUCUCCAAAGCACCUGGCAUUGGCCACUGUAGGAACACAGGAUACUGGGUUAGAUGGACCAUUGGUCUGACCCAAUAUGGCUGUUCUUACGUAAAUAAUUUUAAUCUUUUUUUGCAUGUGUAUUUGAAUAAUUUUCCUAAAGAAAGGUUGAUUCUUGUUGGUUGGGAACCAUCAAAAUGUGUUGAUUUGAAACUACAUAUAUACACACACACACUUUACACUAAACUUGGUACUUUCUGCUAACCAGGAGGACAUAUCAUGUAUACAAAUUUAUUUAAGCUAUUAUAUAGCAUAACAUACAUAUAUUGAGAGUCUUAAUUUUUAAAAUUUUGUAUUAUGUUACAAAAAUGGUAAAUGAUGCAUUUCUUAUUUAUUGGAUGAUUAAUUUUUUAUUUGUGAUUUAUGUCAAGCUCUGUUUGGAUAGAAAUUGGAGUUCACUUAAAAAUGUAUAAAAAUAGCAUUUAAAACUUUUGUUAAACUAUCUUAAAUGUGCUGGAUUCAAAAGAAUGGUUUGCAUUUAAAGCUAACUCAUUCAUUAAACAAAAGUAUUACCUGUA